rnacentral:rRNA from 1 species
GACGUAGGGCGCGAGCGUUGUCCGGAAUUAUUGGGCGUAAAGGGCGCGUAGGCGGUCCAUCAAGUCUCUCGUGAAAUCCCUCGGCUUAACCGGGGAACUGCAUCUGAUACUGGAUGGCUUGAGUUCGGGAGAGGGAUGCGGAAUUCCAGGUGUAGCGGUGAAAUGCGUAGAUAUCUGGAGGAACACCGGUGGCGAAGGCGGCAUCCUGGACCGGCACUGACGCUGAGGAGCGAAAGCGUGGGGAGCGAACAGG